rnacentral:rRNA from 1 species
GACAGAGGGUGCAAACGUUGCUCGGAAUCACUGGGCGUAAAGGGCGUGUAGGCGGGAAGGAAAGUCGGGCGUGAAAUCCCUGGGCUCAACCCAGGAACUGCACUCGAAACUUCUUUUCUUGAGUGCCGGAGAGGAAAGCGGAAUUCCUGGUGUAGAGGUGAAAUUCGUAGAUAUCAGGAGGAACACCAGUGGCGAAGGCGGCUUUCUGGACGGUAACUGACGCUGGAGAACGCGAAAGCGUGGGGGAGCAAACAGG